UAACAAUACAUCUGCCAGGUUUUUAUUGUCACCCCGCAAUCUUAACCCUCGACAGUUUAUCAUUUUAGAUUUAAAAGAUGCUUUCUUUUGCCUCCCUCUCCAUGAAGCUAGCCAGACAAUACGUGCAUUUGAAUGAGAGAACCCUAAAAAUAAAUGGAAAACCCAGCUCACAUGGACGGUGUUGCCACAAAGAUUCACGAAUAGCCCGACAAUAUUUGGAAAUCAGCUUGCUAAAGAUUUUGAAUCCUGGGAAGCCUCGUCUGAUGAGGGACAGAUGCUACAAUAUGUGGAUGACAUUUUAAUCGCUACUAGAACCAAGGAGAUGUGCAUGACCUGGACCGUAUGGACCAGAAACACCUGCAACGGAAUAAGGAAGCCACACGAGCCUUUAAAGAACUUAAAAAGGCUUUGAUGUCAGCCCCUGCUCUAGGACUCCAAUAUGUGAGUAAACCAUUUUUCCUAUUCUUUCAUGAGAAACAGGGAAUAGCCUUGGGUAUAUUGGCACAGGAUCUUGGCCCAUAUCAACGAGCAGUGGCCUAUUUCUCCGAACAGUUAGGCGCAACUGCAAAGGGGUGGCCUGGAUGCCUGCAGGCAGUUGCCGCAGUGGUACUGAAUAUACAGGAGGCCUGGAGAUUUACCAUGGGUCAGAAAAUGACUGUGCUAGCAUCCCACACAGUGUCUAACAAGAUGGUGUAGAAAUUAUCGUCACUAACAUUGUCAACCCAGCUUCUUUCCUCAGUGGUAACUUUGGAGAACCAGUUCAUCAUGACCGCCUGGAGACCAUCGAAGCAACAUAAUCCAAUCGACCAGAUCUAAAAGACAUUCCUAUUGAAAACUCUGAAAACGGAAGCAGCUAACCGUGAGGCUUGUGCAUGUGCACAGAGCAAUUUGGAAAGAAAAGGGACUUUUGAACUCUCAAGGCAAACAUAUCAAACGUGCGGAGGAGAUAUUGAAACUACCGGAAGCAGUUCAACUUCCUAAGAAAAUGGCAACCAUGCAUAUUAAGGCACACCAGAAAGUGAGCUCGGAACCAGAAAAGGCUGUCGGACAGAGAGGAAAAACAAACGGCUAAGCAAAAGGUAAAAACAGAAAGUGCUCUAGUCCUUGGUGGGCAGGUCUCUUUAAAAGGUAAGCCAGAGUAUACUAAAGAGAAUCGAAACUCAUCAUAGAUUUAGAGGAAUCAUAUAAUAAGGAAGGGUGGGUUCACAUCCCCCAGGGAAAACUUAUUGUCCCCUUUCACCUAGUUUGGCCUUUAGUAAGGGAAGAACAUAAGAAAGGAUUUUGGGGAGUAGAACCACUCACUAUGCAAACAUUUGAUUAGGGAAAAAGGAGCUAGAAAUUUGUAUGUCACUGUAAAACAGGUGACAGCAGUGUGAUCUUUGCCUCCAGACUAAUCCCAAAAAUAUGCCCAAGCUAGAAAUGGGUCAAAUGGGGAAGCGGAAUGCGCCUGGACCACAAUGGCAAAUUGAGAUUUCAGAACUCCCAGGAAAAGGGGGGUACCGAUAUUUGUUGGUAUUAACUGAUACUUUUUCAGGUUGGCCAGAAGCAUUCCCUACCAGGACAGCAAAAGUUUAGGAGGUGACUAGAACAUUGAUCCAUGAAAUAACACCAAGGUUUGGAGUUCCAGCUGUUAUAUCCUCUGAUAGAGGGCCACAUUUUAUUUAUGUGUAUGUGAAGUCUUUUGCAGAGAACUUUGGAAUCAUAAUAGGAAGGUCCGUUUCAAGACCUCCUGAUAUCCUUCAUUGCUACCAAUAUUAGAGAACAGAAUGCCUGGAUUCAUCAUUCUAGAGUGAAGAAAGCCUGUGAAACACCAUGGAGGGUAAUCCGGGUGUAGGUAAUUAGGGUCUGGCGGCCGGAAGAUCUCGCGCUGUACGGAAAGGUAGUAGCCCCUCCCUAGACAGGUAGGAGUGUGUGAUGUAAGCAAACGGAAGUGACGUUGUAAACUCAAGGUAUAUAAACCUGUGUUACCUGCCAAUAAACGCCAUUUGCCAUCCACCACAUUGGUGUCUGCGAGCUGAUGGACCGAGCGACCUGGGGUUGGUCGCCGUGCUGUUCCUGAACCAGGUCGCUACUGCCUCCUAGAGGCAACAAGUGGUGCCGAAACCCGGGAAAAUCGCUUGGACUCAGGUGAACAGCGGCCGGAGCGGUAGGACCAGCCUGGCGAGGAGGACGCUUCCGGAGCCGCGAGGAGGAUGGAAGCCCUCGUGAAGAAGAAGAAGAUGAUGAUGAUGCACACCAAAAAGCGACAGAGGAGGUGAACUGAAUGCAGUAAGAAGGCGAGUUAGCGUGCGGUGUCAGAGAGGAAGAUGGGGAAUCCUUGGGAGCCAGCACGAUCCCUGAGGAGGAAUAAGGAGCUGAAAGAUAUUGAAGACGCACCUGGCAAUUACAGGAAGGUCCCCCUUAGCCCAUGUGGUGUUUUCCUUUCUUGAGGAUGGUUAUAGUCCCUUAGCCCUCUGAAAGCUAAGUGGAGGGACAGGGGCUGGGGGGACUGGGAAUUGCAGGAAGGGGUUUAAAGUUCACAGAAUCACAGGAUGUUAGGGAUUGGAAGGGACCGUGAAAGAUCAUCUAGUCCAAGCCCCCCACCGGAGCAGGAACACCUAGAUGAGGUAACACAGGAAGGUGUCCAGGCAGGUCUUGAAUGCCUCCAGAGUAGGAGACUCCACAAGCUCCCUGGCCAGCCUGUUCCAGUGUUCUGUCACCCUUGCUGAGAAGAAGUUUCUUCUCAAAUUUAAGUGGAACCUUUUGUGUUUCAGUUUGUACCCAUUACCCCUUGUCCUAUCAUUGGUUGUCACCGAGAAGAGCCUGGCUCCAUCCUCGUGACACUCACCCUUUAUCUAUCUGUACACAUGAAUAAGGUCACUCCUCAGUCUCCUGUUUUCCAAACUAAAGAGACCCAGCUCCCUCAGCCUUUCCUCAUAAGGGCGUUGCUGCACUCCCUUAAUCAUAUCUGUUGCCCUAUGCUGGACUCUCUCCAGCAGUUCCUUGUCCUUCUUGAACUGAGGGGCCCAGAACUGGACACAAUAUUCCAGAUGGGGUUUCACCAGGGUAGAGUAGAGGGGAAGGAGAACCUCUCUGGACCUACUAACCACUCCCCUUCUAAUAUACUCCAGGAUGCUCUUGGCCUUCCUGGCCACGAGGGCACAGUGCUGGCUCAUGGUCAUCCUGCUGUCCACCAAGACCCUCAGGUCCCUUUCCCCUACACUGCUCUCUAAUAGGUCAUUCCCCAACCUAUACUGGAACCUGGGGUUGUUCCUACCCAGAUGAAAGACUCUACACUUUGCCUUGUUAUAUUUCAUUAAAUUUUUCCCUGUCCAGUUGUCACUGGAUGGCAGCACAGCCUUCUGGCGUAUCAGCCACUCCUCUGAGCUUUGUGUCAUCAGCAGACUUGCUGAUAGUACACUCUCUUCCCUCAUCCAAGUCAUUGAUGAAUAUAUUGAAAGUUGACAUGGGGAGAGGGCCAUCCCGGAACAGUCCCCUUUAGGCAGGAAAACGGGGCAGGGAACAUUUCAGCAUGAUGCCAGGUUGUGCUGGGCAGGGCUGCUCCAGCCUGUGUGUCUGCACUGUUGAGUAGUUUACGAAGCCUGCCUUGCGCCUGUUAGACGAUGCUGGCACUUGUUGUGCUCGAGGGGCAGGGUAGUCUUCUCAGGUGCGUUCCUGGGCUCUGGAAUGCCAGUGCUGAUUGGCCUAGUGCCAAUUGGGAGCUGGUGUUCUUGCUUAAUGAGCCGAAAGCUUGGAUGGGUCUUGCGCCUUGGACUUUUCCAGUCGACUGUGUUUUAUGGUGUCGUUCUGGGCUGCGUUGGCAGCUCUGCUUUCUAGCCAUCCAGUUUAAGGGACUGCGUGCACGUGCGCGUUUGGCUUGGAACAGCUCUGCCUGGAGGCGUUGAGUCGUGGCUGGUGGAAUAGCGCUAAGCGUCCGUGGUUGUUAAUAGGUUGAUAUGCAUAGAUUGUGUAGGCAAAGGUUGUGCAGUUAUUUGGGAUGGAGCAGCUGUGGGCAGGGAGUCUGGGCAGUCGCUUCCGCAGCAUUUUAUGAAAAGGAUCGGAGCCUUCUGGGAGGGGCUGUUUGGUGGGAUGGAAGGCUGUUUAAUCUGUAAGGUGUUAAGGCUUGUAUGGGUGGGUCUUAAUGUUUGGACUGUUUUUUGAAUGGCAGGCUGUAGCUGGACUCCAGGCGGUGUUUCUAACUGGAAAGCAGACCUCUGGAAUGGUUGAUCUCUUGAUUGUCAGCAUCUGGGUGACUUGUUUGAUGCACGUUUUUUCAGAGGCCAGGGGACAACAUGUGCACAAAAGAGCGACAGAGGAGGUGGGUGGAGCACUGUAAGAAGGUGGGUUGGUGAGCUGUGUCAGAGGGAAGGUGUGCCAGGUGCCUCUGUAUAAAUUCGCUUGAUUGCUUCACACCUAUUAAACAAAACAGUGAGGAAAUGUGGGUAUCAGCCCUGCAGCUAUUCGGAGGAGGUGAGCAUUGAGUGCAGGGCUGAAGCAGCUGCUUGGUUUUAGGGGUUGUGUUGCUGGUGCAGGUAUGAGCAUCCUUUGGUUGUGUUUCACAGAUGGUGCCUGAGCCUCCACGUGGUUGAGGUGGCAGCCCAAAGGGCUGGGGCCAAAUGGGGCAGCAGCCAAGGUAAAGGAGCGGGAGGUGAGACUGGCUGGGGGCAAGCUGUGCUU